rnacentral:rRNA from 1 species
AUGGCCUCCGACGGCGUGAUCACGCACCGCAACGUCGACGUGAACGGGGUGCGCCUGCACGUCGCGGAGGCCGGGCCGGCGGGCGCGCCCGUGGUGCUGCUGCUGCACGGGUUCCCGGAGCUGUGGUACACCUGGCGGCACCAGAUGCCCGCGCUGGCCGCGGCGGGCUACCGCGCCGUCGCGCCCGACAUGCGCGGCUACGGUGACUCCGACGCGCCCUCCGGCGGCCCGGACCAGUACACCGCGCUGCAUGUCGUCGGCGACCUCGUCGCGCUCGUCGACUCCCUCGGCCAGAAGCAGGUCUUCGUGGUGGCGCACGACUGGGGCGCCUUGAUAGCCUGGAGCCUCUGCCUGUUCCGGCCGGAUAGGGUGAAGGCACUGGUCGCCUUGAGCGUCGCCUUCAACCCUCGGAACCCGGCGGUGAAGCCCGUGGACGCCUUCAGGGCUCUGUACGGGGAUGACUACUACGUCUGCCGCUUCCAGGAGCCUGGAGCAGUUGAAGUGGAAUUUAGGCGCCUUGGUACAGAGUUGGUGCUAAGAAAGUUUUUCGCUUAUCGAACUCCUGGCCCACUUUUCAUCCCGAAGAGCGGAUGGGGCUCACCAGAUGAGGAGGUGCCCUUGCCGAGUUGGAUCACGGAGGAGGACAUCAAGUACUACACGACCGAGUUUGACAAGUCUGGUUUCACCGGGGGAUUGAACUACUACCGUGCUUUGAAUAAAACAUGGGAUCUAACUUCACCAUGGACCGGAGCUGAGAUAAAGGUGCCAACCAAGUUCAUUGUUGGUGAUUUGGAUCUAACAUACAAUACUGCAGACGCACAAAAUUUCAUAAACAAAGGAGGCUUCAAAAAGUUUGUUCCAUUACUGGAUGAUGUGGUGAUAAUGAAGGAUGUCGCACAUUUCAUUAAUGAAGAAAAACCAAAGGAAAUUAGUGCACAUAUAAUCAGCUUCAUAAAUAAAUUCAACUAA